UUCGGCAAUGGACGAAAGUCUGACCGAGCAACGCCGCGUGAGUGAAGAAGGUUUUCGGAUCGUAAAGCUCUGUUGUAAGUCAAGAACGUGUGUGAGAGUGGAAAGUUCACACAGUGACGGUAGCUUACCAGAAAGGGACGGCUAACUACGUGCCAGCAGCCGCGGUAAUACGUAGGUCCCCGAGCGUUGUCCGGAUUUAUUGGGCGUAAAGGGAGCGCAGGCGGUCAGGAAAGUCUGGAGUAAAAGGCUAUGGCUCAACCAUAGUGUGCUCUGGAAACUGUCUGACUUGAGUGCAGAAGGGGAGAGUGGAAUUCCAUGUGUAGCGGUGAAAUGCGUAGAUAUAUGGAGGAACACCAGUGGCGAAAGCGGCUCUCUGGUCUGUCACUGACGCUGAGGCUCGAAAGCGUGGGUAGCGAACAGGAUUAGAUACCCUGGUAGUCCACGCCGUAAACGAUGAGUGCUAGGUGUUAGGCCCUUUCCGGGGCUUAGUGCCGGAGCUAACGCAAUAAGCACUCCGCCUGGGGAGUACGACCGCAAGGUUGAAACUCAAAGGAAUUGACGGGGGCCCGCACAAGCGGUGGAGCAUGUGGUUUAAUUCGAAGCA
rnacentral:rRNA from 1 species